rnacentral:rRNA from 1 species
AGGACGAACGCUGGCGGCGUGCUUAACACAUGCAAGUCGAGCGGAAAGGCCCUUCGGGGUACUCGAGCGGCGAACGGGUGAGUAACACGUGAGCAACCUGCCCCUGGCUCUGGGAUAGCCUCCGGAAACGGGGAUUAAUACCGGACAUUCUCCUUCUUCCGCAUGGUUGAGGGUGGAAAGUUUUUUCGGCCGGGGAGGGGCUCGCGGCCUAUCAGCUUGUUGGCGGGGUAACGGCCCACCAAGGCGACGACGGGUAGCCGGCCUGAGAGGGCGACCGGCCACACUGGGACUGAGACACGGCCCAGACUCCUACGGGAGGCAGCAGUGGGGAAUAUUGCGCAAUGGGCGGAAGCCUGACGCAGCGACGCCGCGUGGGGGAUGAAGGCCUUCGGGUUGUAACCCCUUUCACCAGGAGCGAUCAAGACGGUACCUGGGAAGAGCGCCGGCUAACUACGUGCCAGCAGCCGC